rnacentral:tRNA from 1 species
UAGCUCAGCUGGGAGAGCAUCUGCCUUACAAGCAGAGGGUCGGGGGGUCGAACGCGCC